rnacentral:rRNA from 1 species
UGGGGAAUGUUGGACAAUGGGCGCAAGCCUGAUCCAGCAAUGCCGCGUGUGUGAAGAAGGCCUUCGGGUUGUAAAGCACUUUUAUCAGGAGCGAAACGCUGUCGGCUAAUACCCGGCGGAACUGACGGUACCUGAGGAAUAAGCACCGGCUAACUUCGUGCCAGCAGCCGCGGUAAUACGAAGGGUGCAAGCGUUAAUCGGAAUUACUGGGCGUAAAGCGUGCGUAGGCGGUUUCUUAAGUCUGCUGUGAAAUCCCCGGGCUCAACCUGGGAAUGGCAGUGGAUACUGGGAGGCUAGAGUGUGUCAGAGGGUGGUGGAAUUCCCGGUGUAGCGGUGAAAUGCGUAGAGAUCGGGAGGAACAUCAGUGGCGAAGGCGGCCACCUGGGACAACACUGACGCUGAGGCACGAAAGCGUGGGGAGCAAACAGGAUUAGAUACCCUGGUAGUCCACGCCCUAAACGAUGCGAACUGGAUGUUGGUCUCAACUCGGAGAUCAGUGUCGAAGCUAACGCGUUAAGUUCGCCGCCUGGGGAGUACGGUCGCAAGACUGAAACUCAAAGGAAUUGACGGGGUCAUAGCUGUUUCC